rnacentral:rRNA from 1 species
UACGGAGGGGGCUAGCGUUGUCCGGAAUUACUGGGCGUAAAGCGCACGUAGGCGGCUUGGUAAGUUAGAGGUGAAAGCCUGGAGCUCAACUCCAGAAUUGCCUUUAAGACUGCCGAGCUAGCAGGUGAGAGAGGUGAGUGGAAUUCCGAGUGUAGAGGUGAAAUUCGUAGAUAUUCGGAAGAACACCAGUGGCGAAGGCGGCUCACUGGCUCAUACUGGACGCUGAGGUGCGAAAGCGUGGGGAGCAAACAGG